GUUUAUAGCUUUGGGGUAGUUCUUGUCGAGAUCAUUACAGCACUGAAAGUGGUGGACUUUUCCAGGCCCCAGAAUGAAGUGAAUUUGGCUGCUCUUGCCAUUGACAGGAUUGGAAAAGGGAGGUUAGAUGAGAUUAUAGAUCCAUUUCUUGAUAUCCACAGUGAUGCUUGGACCCUUUCUUCUGUGCACCAAGUGGCAGAACUAGCAUUUAUAUGCCUCGCAUUUGAUAGAGACAUGAGACCUUCAAUGAUGGAAGUUGUAGCUGAACUGGAGCAAAUAAGGCUAAGUAGAUGGCCUUCAAUAGAAAUAAAUUGCACAUUUUCAUCGAAUGAAACAUCCUGCUCUUCUUCAUCUAAUAUCAGUGAGAAGCCCCUCAGCUUCACUGAUAAGAAUACUCACGUGGAAAAUAGCAGAGGUUUGUUUACAGAGACCAGUAGUGUGAAGUCAAUGGAAAUGGCGAAGGACAAUUCACCUGUUUCUGCGCAAGAUCCAUGGUUAAGUGAACAAAGCUCACCCUCAUCAAGCAGUCGGAUAAAUACUGUAAUUCAGUGAUUUUCAUUGGAUGCUUAGCUUCAUUUCUCCUGUGAAUAUUAUUAAGGUGAAUUUUGAGAUAAAACAUUUUUAUCCCUUUCAACCACUUCCUUAAGCAGUGGUUAGAAAGUUCAUUAUUCAGAAUGUUAUAG
rnacentral:misc_RNA from 1 species